CUCUCCCCCCCCUCUCUCUCUCUCUCUCUCUCUCUCUCUCAUUCUCUCUCUCUCUCUCUCUCUCUCUCUCUCUCUCUGUCUCUCCUGUAGGUUGACAGAGUCCAGCCUUGCUUCUCUCUGCUCAUUCUGCCUAUUUAGACACUGUUUUGUUCCACCACACAUCCCGUCUGUCUGUCUGUCUGAUGACUGGCAAAUGGCAUCUCUUGGGUUUGAAUGACUGAGCAACAAACCAGAAUGACAAUUUGACUGAGCAAGUAUUCCCUACCAGCAUAUAUAUUUAGUACUCUCUGAAGAGUGCUGAAUGUAAGCCUCAGCAUUGAAACCAAAUGGACAAUGCAUACUAAACUUGACCACUGACAGCAACAAAAGGCUAGAGUUCUUGUAUGCUGUCACAGUGUUGUAAUGCCUUUAUCAUCGGAGUUGCCAAAUCUCAGUCGAAUGCAUUUAUAAAGCGAAAACAUCUAUUUAAUUCCUCCAUCAGACAUUAAAAUGUGCAGAUUGUAUAUCCAAAAAAGGGAGAAAUGGAUGAAAGAUGAACAUUAUUCAUAUGCAGCAGUGCAAUUGGUAGUAGUAAAUAGUAGUAGAUUAAAUGUUUGAUGAUGUAUUAGUAGGUGAAAUAGUCGCAAAUUAUAGAACAAGAUAGAUUAAGAAGGUAAUGACAAGGUAGGUAUUUGAACACGGUCUCUUCAUGAGUUACGGUGUUGAUCCCCUCCGUUGUCCCUCCCCUGUCUGGACUUGGCACCUUAGGAAGCUGUUAUAUACAGACAUGUGCCCCUAGGGUAGCUACUGGAGGGAUUUUUUCAUUAUUAAAAUCGAAUUAAAUUCAACAGCUUGGGUAAUACAAAUUAAAGAUGGCAACUGUGGCUGAAAUGUAAUUAGUUUGAGAAAUGUGAGGUUAUUUUUGUGGAGGGGGAAAAGUUUAAAGAGUACAAUAAUUGCGAUGGAGGCGUGUGGAUGGAGACUGUUUAUAUCAAUUCCAGUAUUAUUUGCCCAUUGGGCGCGAGUUUACAGGUGCUGUCCUAUCUGAUUUGGAGGCAACACUAGUAAUUCUCACUGCACUAACUAAAAUUGAAACGACGUGCUUGAGCCAGUGAAAUGUUUUACACUGUUUUCAUUCUCGCACCAUUCUGCCAUGUUCAUACUUUGUCAUUCCAUCUCUCCAACCAUGAUGCUCAUUCAAUAUCUGAGCAUGCUCAAUAGGGGGGCUGGGGGGGUUAAAGAUUAUAAUAAUGGUACUAGCUACUCGCUUUAACAAUAUUAUUAUUUACCUAUGGUUUGAAUGCUAAGGAUAGUAGCUUAUUAUUAAUAUGAAAUCUGUAUAUUAUGGAAAAUCAGCACAGGUCCUUUCUUUGGGUGGGUGGAAUGGGUGGAAUGGGUGGAAUGGGGAGGGAGGGGAGGGAGGGGAGGGGUUUUGCUUUAUAAAGAUGUUAAACUUCUGGUUUCUCAGCACAAAGCAUACAAAAAUAUAUGACAAAAGUAUUGAAUUUGUGAUUGAAUUUUGACAUGUUAUGGGGCAAGGGAAACAUUUCAGUGCUAUUCUCUAAACCUGGACCAGAACAAUGCCGUUUACAGGUAAAAAAAAAAAAAAUUCAAGAGGAGAGCACCACCUAUCUGCUUGAUGGGCUCAGUACAGCAUGGUUAACUGAAAUUGAAAGCAGUACCUUUUUAUAAAUAAUAAAUCAAUUAAAAUAUGUGUUCUGUAAUAGCCUGAGAAACCAAACGUUUUUCCCCCUGUUGACAUUUCUUGAAUACUUGCUGCUUAGAUUAUUUCAUAUUAAUGAUUAAUGAUUUAAUGGUUUUAUAAUUAUUUAUUUGAUCAGGUAAGAAACUUGAUAUGUAAAUGUAUUUAUUCAUCUAUUUCUUUAAUUGUUUAUUUACU
rnacentral:lncRNA from 1 species